rnacentral:rRNA from 1 species
AUUCCAGCUCCAAUAGCGUAUACUAAAGUUGUUGCAGUUAAAAAGCUCGUAGUUGAAUUUCUGGUCGUGGCGACCGGUCCGCCCCUCACGGGGUGUGCACCUGGUCUCUACGUCCAUCCUCGGGGAGAGCGCGUCUGGCAUUCAGUUGUCGGGCGCGGGAUCCUCGUCAUUUACUGUGAGCAAAAUAGAGUGUUCAAAGCAGGCUUAGGCCGUUGAAUACAUUAGCAUGGAAUAAUAAGAUAGGACCUUGGUCUAUUUUGUUGGUUUGCAUUCCAAGGUAAUGAUUAAUAGGGAUAGUUGGGGGUAUUCAUAUUUAAUUGUCAGAGGUGAAAUUCUUGGAUUUAUGAAAGAUGAACUCAUGCGAAAGCAUUUACCAAGGAUGUUUUCAUCG